CCCAACUAUCCCUAUUAAUCAUUACAUCGAUCCUAGAAACCAACAAAAUAGAAUCGGAUGUCCUAUUUCAUUAUUCCAUGCUAAUGUAUUCAGACGAUAGUCUGCUUUAAACACUCUAAUUUUUUCAAAGUAACAGUCCUAAUUCCCCGUAACACCAAAUUAAUGGCAUUACGGUUCUUUAGAAGGUGAGAAAUCAAUGAUAACAGUGCAUACCAACGGCAUGACCGAAAUAUUGAUCCCGAAAUUCAACUACGAGCUUUUUAACUGCAACAACUUUAAUAUACGCUAUUGGAGCUGGAAUUACCGCGGCUGCUGGCACCAGACUUGCCCUCCAA
rnacentral:misc_RNA from 1 species